rnacentral:rRNA from 1 species
UACGUAGGGGGGCAAGCGUUGUCCGGAAUCAUUGGGCGUAAAGAGCGUGUAGGCGGCCCGGUAAGUCCGCUGUGAAAGUCCAGGGCUCAACCCUGGGAUGCCGGUGGAUACUGCCGGGCUAGAGUCCGGGAGAGGCGAGUGGAAUCCUGGUGUAGCGGUGGAAUGCGCAGAUAUCAGGAGGAACACCUAAGGCGAAGGCAGCUCGCUGGAACGGUACUGACGCUGAGGCGCGAAAGCGUGGGGAGCAAACAGG